AUUGAACGCUGGCGGCAGGCCUAACACAUGCAAGUCGAGCGAGCGGCGGACGGGUGAGUAAUGUAUUGGGAUCUGCCCGAUAUAGGGGGAUAACUACUGGAAACGGUGGCUAAUACCGCUUACGGUCGUAUGAGCUCAUAUUGGAUUAGCUAGUAGUUGGGGUAAAGGCUCACCUAGGCGACGAUCUCUACCUGGUCUGAGAGGAUGAUCGGCCACACUGGGACUGAGACACGGCCCAGACUCCUACGGGAGGCAGCAGUGGGGAAUAUUGGGCAAUGGGCGAAAGUCUGAUCGAGCCAUGCCGCGUGUAUGAAGAAGGUCUUAGGGUUGUAAAGUACUUUUAGCAGGGAGGCGUUACCUGCAGAGGAAGCACCGGCUAACUCCGUGCCAGCAGCCGCGGUAAUUC
rnacentral:rRNA from 1 species